GCCGACGUAGCUCAGCUGGUAGAGCAACGGUUUCGUAAACCGUAGGUCGAGGGUUCGAAUCCCCUCGUCGGCU
rnacentral:tRNA from 3 species